rnacentral:lncRNA from 1 species
AAAACCGAGUGAAAGAAAAAAAAUCAAUUAAAAAAUCAGAUGCUCUCUACUAGGGUUUUAUCCCAACCCCUUUGCGCCGCUGCCCGUUCGCCAUGGUUUCGCCGCAACUAGUGGCCGGAGGCUCGCCGGAUUGGGUUUUUAACCCUUUUCGGAGCAGAUUCGAAGGCAAGGUAAGCCUCACCCCUUUUCCCUUUACUGCUAUUUUUUGUUAAAUAAAAUAAAAAAUACAAAAGAAAUGCAAUCACCUUUUGAAAAAUAUUCUUUGUAUUCUCAAUAUUCUCUAUGUGUUUCUCGUAUUUUACACUGAAAAAAACCCCCUUUUACCGAUUUUCAUGGCUUUAAAUAGCCGAAAUGGAAAAGAUAAAUGAAAUGGAAAAGAUAACUCAACAAAAUCAAAAAAGAGAUCUAUUCUGUUUUGUUGGCAUGAUUUUUGCUAUCUUGUUGAUGCAGGUACUGUUGGAGGAGAAUACGCGCGACGUGGAGGCGCAACUCUCGCGGAAGAGGCCUCUAGCUCCGAGUUGUGCGCCGCUUGGGACUGCUGGAGGUGGGGGCUGCUGCUAGGGUUUCUCAACCCUUCCAUUUUCCAUUAGUUUCGAGCCUGGAUUAGGAAUUAGCUAUUGGGCCCGUUUAUUGGGCUUGUAUUUUUUGUUUGGGUUUAUUCGUUAAUAGGCCAGGCCAAAAUUGGUAUUACAUUUCUAAUAUAUAAAUGUUAUGUGUUUUAUAUGAAAUUGAAGAGAAAGAAAAGAAAGGAAAGGACCUAAUUGAAGAAAAAGUAAAAGAGAAGGCUAAGGAGUGAAGGAAGAUAUCAUCUCAACCUUUUUGUUGUAAGUACUACAAGGUUAUUUUUAUUUUAAAUUAUUUUAUUUAAAUGCCUAUAUUAUAGUAUAGAAUUAUUUAGAAAUAAAAUAAAAUAAAGUAAAAUAAAAGAUUAUGGAGCUAUGAAAUUUGUAAAGAAAAUUAUAGAUGGAAAGUAUAUAGUGGUAUAUUGAUUGAACAUUAAGAAAAUAUUGUGACAAAAGUAUAUAUAUGUGAAAAUGGUGUGAUAAUUGUGAAUUGUGAAAUGUGCCCUAAAUUGUAAUGAUGGAGAAAUGAGAAAUCUUUUUCGAAAUAAUUCUAUAAAGUAUUUAAUUGAAUGAGAUUCAGUUUUAAUGCCCAAGUAGAUGAAAUUUAGAACUACCAGGAUAGUAGUGGCAUGCCAUUAAGGAACUUUAGCGCGCUCUCUGAUUAUUAGCACGUUAGUGCUCUCUGACUACUAGCACGUUGGUGCUCUCUGAUUUUAGCACGUCAGUGCUCUCUGUUUAGCACAUCUGUGCUCUCUGUAUAGCACUUUAGUGCUCUCUGUUCAUUAGUGCAUACCAAUGCACCUCUGUAUUUGUUCCGUAUAUUCGGUGUGUUCUAUAAAAUCUACUUUGGGCUAAGAUUAUGAUUUGUGGAUAAAAGCGAAUCAUUAAAAUGCUAAGGUAAGUUUUAUGAAGCUUAUACGUACAUAAAUACGUAAUAACAGAAAGAGAUUGACAUAUUUUGUUUAUAUUUGUUUAUCAGUUUAUUUCUUGUAGUGCUUACUAAGCCUUCACCGGCUUAACGCGUUUAAUUUUAACGCGUAGGUACAGUUUGUCUCGAAGAGGUAAAGUCAGGAUAGAAGAUCUCUCAUCUCAUCACAUCCUCAAGAGCUUCAAAAGUAGGUACCAUAUUUUGAAUUAAAAUGGCAUGUACAUAGACAGUCAGUUAUGCUUCCAUGUGUUAGGAACUAAAAUGUAAACUCUUGGACUUCUAUAUAUUUUUAAGUACUUUUCGUAUUUUGGUAUAUAUAUGAAAUGAAUUAGUAAAACUAUAUGUAUGUUUGCAAAUAUGGUUGGUAAGUUAAAAUGCUAUGUAUAAAUGUUUUAAUUAAACAAUAUCUAGCUAUAACCGUUUGGCACCAAAUGUAAUAGCCUUAUACUGGGUCAGUACGAUUAGACCAUGUAUAGGGUUGUUACAAUUAUGGAAAUUUUAAAUUUUAAUUAUUUCACAUAAUUUUAACAUUUAACUACAACCAUAUCUAUUAUAUAUAUUAAAACUAAAAUAAUUAAUGCAUACAUAUAACCACAAUCAUAAUUAAUCAAUCAUUAUAAUGCACAAACGAAAGGAUUAUUGACCUAAAUCUACUUAUUUAACUGGGUAGGUAAGGGAUUUGGCCCCUUUAGUUAAAUGGGCAAAUCCUAUUUUUAGUUCUUCCUAAAUCUAUACUAUGUAUAAUGUAUUUAAUUAAGUCAGUGUCACAAGUUAAGCGGAUAUUGACUUAAUUGAGAAAUUACUAAAAGCUCUUUCCUUUUACAAAGAAACAAAAAUUAUUUUAAGGGUAUUUUUAUCUUUUUACAUUUUAUGUAAACACAAACUAUCAUGGUUUUUAGAAUUCUAAAUUUAUCAUUUCAACCAACCUCACAUUUAUUGUAAUGUAAAUUUUUUAUAUAAAAUAUGAUACGAUUUUUUUCCAUCAUUGAAAUUAACUUUAUAGUCUAUUGAAUAAAUAGAAAAUGUUUAUGUUUGGUCCAUCUUAAAAAUUAUAUUUAAUUUAAUUUAAUUUUUUUUAGUAACUUCACCUCACCCAUGUUGAAUGUAGAUAAAAUGAGAUCAUGGAGAAGGAAAAAGAAAAAAAAGUUAAACAGGGAAAAGAAUGUAGAGAAAAAAAGAUGGAAGGGGGAAAUGAAGAAAGAAACAAGAUGUCCCAUUGAUACUCUUUAUCUAUGUAACUUCCGAGUCCCUACUCCAAUAGAAAAUAAUGGAACCCUCUCCCUCCGUCACUUGCUUUUUGAUUCCUUUUUUGUACACAUUUUAAAUUAUGGUUCUCAUAAUAACACCGUGAUAGUGGUAUCGGUACUGGUCAUAUAGGUUAAUUACAUAUUAAAGAUUUAAGUCCUGUUUUUAUAUUUGAUAAACAUUUUCAAAAGACCUCAAAUAAGAACAUUCCUCACAUUUUACUCCAGUUUGUAAUAUAGUUGAGUAUACUAUCAACCAUGGUAUAUUUUCAUGAUAAAACAUUUUAAAUAUAAUAAAAGCAUGAAAAAUAUGUACAUAAAUCCAAUUGUAAUAUCAAUUAAAAAUUUAGACACAAAUAUUUUAUCUCCUACAAACUUGUUUCAAUGCAAUUAAGAUAAAAGGAGGAGUAAAAAAAAAAAGAGAGAUGAUUAGAGAUACCCCUUGGUAAUCUCACAUUAUAAAAUAACUUACAUUUCCAAAGCUUUUACUGUCUUUCACAGGAAGAUGCAAAUUCAUUAUAUAAACAUAGAUAGAAAGCAACCAACACUGUAAAAAACUUACUAAAAUAGCAAUACUAACAUUAUUAUACUUUCAUAAUUUUUUUUAUUUAUUAUUUUUUUUUGGUUUGAGCAAAAGUCUUGGAUUUCAGUGUACUAUUUUUGCUUUUGAUUUUUUAGGGCAUGAAAAUCUUGUUGCCACACUUGCAACGCCAAGCUUCAGGGUAGUACUCGAGUGGCUUCAUAACUAAACCUGGUUGAAUCGGGACGUGAACCGGUUGACAAGGCGAGCAGCUCCCACAGUUGGAUCUACAAGAAGGUGGUGAAG